AGUGAACGCUGGCGGUAGGCCUAACACAUGCAAGUCGAACGGCAGCACAGUAAGAGCUUGCUCUUACGGGUGGCGAGUGGCGGACGGGUGAGGAAUACAUCGGAAUCUACUUUUUCGUGGGGGAUAACGUAGGGAAACUUACGCUAAUACCGCAUACGACCUACGGGUGAAAGCAGGGGAUCUUCGGACCUUGCGCGAUUGAAUGAGCCGAUGUCGGAUUAGCUAGUUGGGGGGGUAAAGGCCCACCAAGGCGACGAUCCGUAGCUGGUCUGAGAGGAUGAUCAGCCACACUGGAACUGAGACACGGUCCAGACUCCUACGGGAGGCGGCAGUGGGGAAUAUUGGACAAUGGGCGCAAGCCUGAUCCAGCCAUACCGCGUGGGUGAAGAAGGCCUUCGGGUUGUAAAGCCCUUUUGUUGGGAAAGAAAAGCAGCAGGUUAAUACCCCGCUGUUCUGACGGUACCCAAAGAAUAAGCACCGGCUAACUUCGUG
rnacentral:rRNA from 1 species